rnacentral:rRNA from 1 species
AUUGAACGCUGGCGGCAUGCCUUACACAUGCAAGUCGAACGGCAGCACGGACUUCGGUCUGGUGGCGAGUGGCGAACGGGUGAGUAAUGUAUCGGAACGUACCUUUCAGUGGGGGAUAACGUAGCGAAAGUUACGCUAAUACCGCAUAUUCUGUGAGCAGGAAAGCAGGGGAUCGCAAGACCUUGCGCUGAUUGAGCGGCCGAUAUCAGAUUAGCUAGUUGGUGGGUAAAGGCCUACCAAGGCUACGAUCUGUAGCGGGUCUGAGAGGAUGAUCCGCCACACUGGAACUGAGACACGGUCCAGACUCCUACGGGAGGCAGCAGUGGGGAAUUUUGGACAAUGGGGGCAACCCUGAUCCAGCCAUGCCGCGUGAGUGAAGAAGGCCUGGU